GCCCAGGUGGUGGAAUUGGUAGACACGCAGCGUUCAGGUCGCUGUGAGCUUACGCUCGUGAGAGUUCGAGUCUCUCCCUGGGCACCA
rnacentral:tRNA from 2 species